AAUAGAGCCACAUAUAAAGUUACAGUACAGAAACCCACCCACAAAAAAAUGGAGUGUCUUGUACACUUGCUGGAGAUGGGUUGCACAUUUGUCUCUCUGAAGUCUGACUGGCUGUGUGAUUCACAAUUUCUUUCACAUUUUUACACUUCCAAUCAUUCAGGGAAAACAUGGUUGCUUCUAUUCCUCUGAUCUGAGAGAAAUCAUUCCUAUGGUGGCAGAACCCCUGCGAUCUCUAUAAAAUGGACCUUAAGGAAAAAUUUAAACGUGAAUGCUGUAUGGCAGGCACAAUCCCAGGGCCAUGAGAGUGAGGCCAAAAGGUAAGAAGACCAGGAGGAAUGAAGCAAAUACUAGGUUUUACAUUUCUGGCCUGGUCACUGCUUCUUCAAAGUGACAAAGCCAUUUGCUUGGCAUGUGGGACUCUUUGGACGGAAUUGAUAGAAAUAUGCUUGGGGAAAACAUCAGAGAGAGAGAUGCAGUGGGAAUUUAUCUAUCUCCUGGCCCCCACUGGUUCAGUUGUGGGGAGUUACCUCCUCCACACUAAGGUGGAGCUGGGAAAAUCAGACCCCAGGCCUUAUAGUUGCUGGAGUCUGGAAGUCGCAGGAGCCAGGGGUGUCAGUUUGAGGUGGAGGAAGCUUGGGCCACAGUGUACUGCGGAGGCAGCUGGGGAGAAUCAGCAGCCAAGAACUAGGGAGACAGGUGAGACUGAGGAAAUCUGAGUUGGCACGUAAAAUGUGUUUAUAUGCUGGUUACAUAAAAAGAACAGUAUAUAAGGUAGCAAAAGAUGUUCCUAAAACAUUGUUAUAGAAUAUUUAAUAUGCUAUAUGAUUGUUUUAUGAGAUAGAGAGCAGAAUGGUUAAUAGUGCUGGUUCUGGGGCUAAAACUGAAUCUAAGUUGGAAUCCAAACUAUAACACUUACAGCUUGUGGGAACUGGGUUAAGUUAUUAGCCCUCACUCCACUUUUUUUCUCACUGCGUAGGGUUAACUGUUCCUUUUCCCUGAAUGGUAAUGAAUGAUAGGAAUUAAUAGAAAGCUUUUCCUCUCCCUACUCUGAACAUUUUAGGGCAUAAUAGUCUCAAAGCCAUUAGGAAGAGCCAAGCAAACUAGGUAUCCAUGCUGGGGGACACAGGUGGUCCAAGUAGGGUGAGGAGGGCAUCCACAGGAGGGGGCAACCCAGUGUGGGUGUCAGAGCCUGAGCCAGAGGAGGGAAAUGUCCAAUGUCGUGGGUGGUCCAGUGUGGAAUCUGGUGCUUGAGGAGGUGAGGUUGGGAGCCAUGCAGGUUGUGUUAGUCAGCUUUUCAUUGCUGUUACCAAAAUACCAAACAAAAACAACUUUGAGGAGGGAAAGUUUAUUUGGCUCUCAGUUUCAGAGAUUUAAUCCAUGGUGGGCUGACUGCAUUGCUCUGUGCCAAGAUAAGGCAGAUCAUCAUGACAAAAAGGCACAUACAAAAUGGCUGCAUACUUCGUGACAAGGUCAGGGGAAGGAGUUGCAGGGAAGACAAAACCUUAACAGUCCUAGUGACCCACCUCCGCCUGCCAUACCCCACCUGGCUGUAGUUACCACACACCCUGUCCAUUCAAACUAGGAUGGACUGAUUAGCUCUCCUAAUCCAAUCCUUUCACCUCUGAAUAGUCUUACUUCAACACAGAAGCUUUGGAGGGACACGUCAUAUCCAAACAGGUCAAGGGGCAGCCUCACUCCCAGCAUUAGAGACCAAGCAGGGUGAGGCAUCCCCCAGGUGGGGAUCUGACAUAGACUGUUGGAGCCUGAGUGGGGCAGAAAGGGUGUCCACACCAGGGUGAAGGGUGUGGCCCCUGUGGUGCUUAAGGGAAGUGAGGAGGAUGCCUAUGCAGAAGGAUGACCUGGCUCAUCCAAUUGGGGUGAGGAGGGCAUGCAGGAGAAGGGCAGUGGCAGGAUGGGAAAUUUGUUACAGGGACACUAAUCAAAGGGGGAAAAAAAAUAUAUAUAUAUAUAUAUUUUUUUUUUAAGAGAAUUAGAACCAAGCAUCUAAAUACCAGAGAAGGGAUAAGCAAACAUGGAAAAAGAGAAAACUAGAAAAACGAUGUUAUGUUGGAUGGGGAUUGAAGAUAUUGGAAUUAACCCAAAGUAUUGGUAUAGAAAAACUCAGAGAUAUGGGUAAGUGUGUGUUAGUAUUAAUUAGAGCCAUCCUAGCGGGUGUAUCUGCUAGAUAUCUUGUGGUUUGAUUUGCAUUUCUCAAAGGUGUAAUGAUGUUAAAUAUCUUUCCAUAUAUUUGUUGGCCAUUAGUACUAUAUUUUCUUUGGAGAAAUAUCCAUUCCAAUCCUGCAUACAUGUUUAUAUAUUCUAUUUUUAGAACACUUGGAUAUACUCCCUAAUUAAAAAUUAAACUAAACAUUUUACAAAAGAAAAGUCAUUUCAUUUGCUGUGGUUCGUUCGCCUAGAUCAGAGUUUUCAACUUCAGUACUACUUUUGGUAAAAUAACUCAUGAUGUGAGUAGUCAUGUGGAUUGGAGCCUGCUUGGCAGCAUCUCUGGUCUAUACCUACUAGCUAUCAGUUGCAACCCCUUUCCCCCAAAGUUAUGACAACCCAAAAUAACAAAUGUCCCAUAGGGGAUACAGUAGUCUACUAGAGAUCAAUUGUUUAUAAACAAACCCCCAGACCUGGUUCACUUAGCAGGAAUUGAGGCUUUGCAAGUUACUUUAUUAAAAAACAAACAACUAA
rnacentral:lncRNA from 1 species